CUUGUAGUGCGUGGCACGUCGAACUGCAAAUUCGAAGACGCCCCUUAAAUUGUGGCCCGGACUU
rnacentral:tRNA from 1 species